GUACAGGUGGCCCAGGACUUGCAAUUGGUAUCUACCAUGGAGGCAGUCUUGAGGAACUAAGCACUUUAACUAGGACCUGACAGUAACUCCAGUUACUAAGGAGCUGAAGUCAACAAGAUUUUUAAUUACCAAUAUUAGCACUAAGGAAUAAAAUUCCUUGAGAUUAGAAAAUCUUAAAGAACUGGGAAAGACAAGAAAGAUCAUGUGUGGCUGAAGGCCUGAAGAGAACAACAACAACAAAAGACCAACCUUCCUCCAGCAAGAGACAAUCUUCCAGCAGAUGGCCUUCAAGCUUCAUCUGCAACAUCAGCUCUUCCUGGUUCUCCAGUGAUGGCCUUCGGACUGACUGCAGCUGGAACAGCCACCGCCCCUGGGGUCUCCGGCCCACCAGCCCAGCUUGCAGAUACGUAUCUCCUAUUGGUUCUGUUUCUCUGGAACCCCCUGACCAGAAACAAAGCCUGCAGAGAAGCAACCUACAGAAGUCUAAGAACCUGCCAUUUGCAGGGGUUAUGCCUGUAACUAAACCAACCUCUUCCUGGAACUUGGCGAGAGAGACAGGCAAUACCCACUGAACAGGGGCCUGCUGACACCUAGACACUUGCAUGCAGCUGCUGGGGAUACACGUGCUCCUCCCCAAACCUCCUUUGCGGUUGGAGUGAGCUGGGAGCCAGGCGAUCGAUGGCCAGCCCUGCCUGGAUGAGCUCUCUGCUCAUUACAGUUGCACGCUUCUUCCACUUCCUCUGUGUGGGCCACCUUGGCCUCAAUCAACCCUAAUGAACUUGGAAGAGACCUGGACAUACUGUGGCCCGGUCAGCCACCUCUGCUUCAUAUACUUUGGUCAGUUCAUUCCUGGGGUCCUGGGACACAAUGCAGCAAGGCACAAAUUAUAAAAGAAAGGAUCAAAAAGAUAACUCUGGCAGUGUGUGGAGAAUAGAUGGGAGGUAAGCUUUCAGCUAUUGCCACAAUCAGGCUGCAUCAUGAACCACCCCAAAACUCACUGGCUUGAAACAAUGAUCAUGUGUUCUCACAGGUCUGUAGUUGGGGUCUGCUCCAUGUCUCUCAUCCUUUCCUGAGAUCAGUGGGUGAGUGAAGGCCUAGCAAUGGCAGAGGCGUAAGAGGGCAAGUCCCAAGCUUAGAACUGGCCCCACUUCUGCUCUAUUCCUUUGGCUAAAGCAAGUCAGUGGCCAAAGCCAAAGUUAAGGGCAGGAAAACCCAUUCCCUCAUGAUGGACUGGUGCAGCUACAGGAAGGGCUGAAGAAUUGAGGCUGGUUUUCAGUAAUCACAGGAGGAAGUGGGGAGGUAGUGUGUCCUGCUAAGAGGCUUCAGCGGGUAUCCAGGUGAGCAACAAUAACGGCAUGGACCAGAAAGCUAGGUAGCUGUGGAAGUGAUAAGAAAUACCUCUUCAGAGUAAUGACUCUAUAGCAUCUUACUAGG